rnacentral:rRNA from 1 species
AUACUGAGGGUGCGAGCGUUAAUCGGAAUUACUGGGCGUAAAGCGUGCGUAGGUGGUUAUUUAAGCAAGAUGUGAAAGCCCAGGGCUCAACCUUGGAACUGCAUUUUGAACUGGAUGGCUAGAGUAUUGUAGAGGGUGGUGGAAUUUCCAGUGUAGCGGUGAAAUGCGUAGAGAUUGGAAGGAACAUCAGUGGCGAAGGCGGCCACCUGGACAACUACUGACACUGAGGCACGAAAGCGUGGGGAGCGAACAGGAUUAGAAACCCUAGUAGUCC